rnacentral:lncRNA from 1 species
CCACCAACAGAUUAAUCUACAUAUAUUAUUUUGAGCCCCUCUUUUAAUUUAAUUUUCUAUUAUAAAUUUUGUUUGUUAGUUUAGCUUUUUAAUUCUUAAAUUAUUGAAUGAUAAUAAAUUAUUCCGAUGAGAACAUCAUUUUUGAUGAACUUUCAUUUUUUUUAUUAAGUUUGUCGAACUGUUAUGAAAAUUGAUAAAAUUUGAGGAAGAAAAAUUUAUAAUAGUAAUGAUAAUGAUGAUGAUGAUUCGCAAAGAAA